rnacentral:rRNA from 1 species
UACGAAGGGGGCUAGCGUUGUUCGGAAUUACUGGGCGUAAAGCGCACGUAGGCGGCGCAGCAAGUUGGGGGUGAAAUCCCGAGGCUCAACCUCGGAAUUGCCUUCAAAACUGCUGUGCUCGAGUUCGGAAGAGGUGAGUGGAAUUCCCAGUGUAGAGGUGAAAUUCGUAGAGAUUGGGAAGAACACCAGUGGCGAAGGCGGCUCACUGGUCCGCAACUGACGCUGAGGUGCGAAAGCGUGGGGAGCAAACAGG